UCAUGCAACCUCCUAUCAUAGCGGAUCUGCAACAAUUCAAUGCCCUAGUCCAAUAGAUCCAGGCAUUGACCAAUGUUGUAUAGUGGCUACAAUAGGUGACCGAGAGAUAGCAGCUCCAGGAGCUAAUUCCUCAGGUGACUCCUAGGCACAGCCACCGUUCUCAUCCCAAGAGCCCGAAACCAGCCCCCAGUGAACCCAUCAC
rnacentral:lncRNA from 1 species